ACACAUGCAAGUCGAGGGGCAGCAUGAGCUCAGCUUUGCUGGGUUUGAUGGCGACCGGCGCACGGGUGAGUAACGCGUAUCCAACCUGCCCUUUACUCCGGGAUAGUCUCCUGAAAGGGAGUUUAAUACCGGAUGUGUUUGUCUUUCCGCAUGGGAGCGACAAAUAAAGAUUGAUUGGUAAAGGAUGGGGAUGCGUCCCAUUAGCUUGUUGGCGGGGUAACGGCCCACCAAGGCGACGAUGGGUAGGGGUUCUGAGAGGAAGGUCCCCCACAUUGGAACUGAGACACGGUCCAAACUCCUACGGGAGGCAGCAGUGAGGAAUAUUGGUCAAUGGGCGGGAGCCUGAACCAGCCAAGUAGCGUGAAGGAUGACGGCCCUACGGGUUGUAAACUUCUUUUAUAAGGGAAUAAAGUUCGCCACGCGUGGUGUUUUGUAUGUACCUUAUGAAUAAGCAUCGGCUAAUUCCGUGCCAGCAGCCGCGGUAAUACGGAAGAUGCGAGCGUUAUCCGGAUUUAUUGGGUUUAAAGGGAGCGUAGGCGGGCUUUUAAGUCAGCGGUCAAAUGCCACGGCUCAACCGUGGCCAGCCGUUGAAACUGCAAGCCUUGAGUCUGCACAGGGCACAUGGAAUUCGUGGUGUAGCGGUGAAAUGCUUAGAUAUCACGAAGAACUCCGAUCGCGAAGGCAUUGUGCCGGGGCAGCACUGACGCUGAGGCUCGAAAGUGCGGGUAUCAAACAGGAUUAGA
rnacentral:rRNA from 1 species